rnacentral:rRNA from 1 species
GAUGAACGCUGGCGGCGUGCCUAAUACAUGCAAGUCGAGCGAACAGACGAGGAGUUUGCUCCUCUGACGUUAGCGGCGGACGGGUGAGUAACACGUGGAUAACCUACCUAUAAGACUGGGAUAACUUCGGGAAACCGGAGCUAAUACCGGAUAAUAUAUUGAACCGCAUGGUUCAAUAGUGAAAGACGGUUUUGCUGUCACUUAUAGAUGGAUCCGCGCCGCAUUAGCUAGUUGGUAAGGUAACGGCUUACCAAGGCAACGAUGCGUAGCCGACCUGAGAGGGGGAGCGGCCACGCUGGAACUGAGACACGGUCCAGACUCCUACGGGAGGCAGCAGUAGGGAAUCGUCCGCAAUGGGCGAAAGCUUGACGGAGCAACGCCGCGGGAGUGAUGAAGGUCUUCGGAUCGUAAAACUCUGUUAUUAGGGAAGAACAAAUGUGUAAGUAACUAUGCACGUCUUGACGGUACCUAAUCAGAAAGCCACGGCUAACUACGUG